AGACCGAUAGCGAACAAGUAGAGUGAUCGAAAGAUGAAAAGCACUUUGAAAAGAGAGUUAAAAAGCACGUGAAAUUGUUGAAAGGGAAGCGCUUGCGACCAGACUCGCUCGCGGGGUUCAGCCGGCAUUCGUGCCGGUGUAUUUCCCCGCGGGCGGGCCAGCGUCGGUUUGGGCGGUCGGUCAAAGGCCCUCGGAAGGUAACGCCCCUAGGGGCGUCUUAUAGCCGAGGGUGCAAUGCGGACCUGCCUAGACCGAGGAACGCGCUUCGGCUCGGACGCUGGCAUAAUGGUCGUAAGCGACCCGUCUUGAAACACGGACCAAG
rnacentral:rRNA from 1 species